rnacentral:lncRNA from 1 species
UACAUUGAUAAAUAUUUAAUGAUCCAUUUAUAGCUCAUAUUUCAUUAUUUAUCACAUAUAUAUGUCGCCGUGCGAUAUAUAAUAUGUUUCUAAUUAAAGCCAAAAUUCGGAUACUAUUACUCAUGAUUAAUCACUCAUCAACCACCAUGAUUUUACUAUUAUUUCUAUCACCGCUUUGAAAAAGAGGUAAAAACUCAAUAGACAUAUAAUCUACUUUUUAUAAUAAUGUCCAUAUACACCCAAUAAAAAGCUUCGCAAACAAAAUGAUUAUCGAGUAGGGCGAAAAUAGACCAAUCGCCCUUGUUAUUUGGGAGGAAAAUAUUUCGUCCAAAAAAAAAAAAAAAGGAAGAAAAUACAUGAAGUACAAAGUUGCCAGUUGUACGAUCUCUGUGAAUAGGCGCGACACCUUCCUCAUUACAAAGUUACGAACACUAUAUAGUUUACACUUUACACAUAUAGAAAUCGCAUU